GGCAGUAGUGGUUUGGUGUUUAAGGCUGUGGGUUACUGAUCUGAAGGUCAGGGGUUCAAGCCCCCACACUGCCA